rnacentral:lncRNA from 1 species
CUUGAUCCAAAGUUCACAGCUCAUCAUCUUAAUAAAUCACCCACUUGUAACCCUUCUCAUGAAGAGGCCACUCUUCUGAAGAAGGAAGGACAGCAUGUGCACUGAGUGGUUCUGCUUUCGAGUUGCUUGAUUAUUUUAGGGAGGCGACAAUGGGAUGCAGAUCUGAAUCAGCCUCCUUUCCUUGCCGACAAUUAGGUUUAUUGUCGUCCAGUUCCUGUUUAGCAGAGUAAGAAUCGCCAUGCACAGUCGUUGUAUGCUUCUUCACGUGCAGGUUAGCUGCUGGUUGGAGGCUCUGCACUGUAAUCUUCGUUCAUCUUCUCUACAUGCAAGAAGUCACAUGCCAC